CUCCUGUCAGGUGUUAUUAUCCCGAGACUGUGAUGCUUGAGUUUUCCCUCACCACUGUGCUGCUGUAUGCUGCGUUGCAGUUUUCCGUGCUUGGUUCUCUGCUACAUUCCCUUGGCUGCCGUGGGCUGCACUUGUACACCAGGGAGAGUGAGCGAUUCAGCUUUGGUUGCUGUGUUGAAACAGAGCAGGCUGCAUUGCCUCAGAUUAGUGGGACUCAAGCUGAGCUGUAGAUGCAGGAACACAAGUAGCUGGCGGCAAUCCUGCUUCUGUCUGACUGAACAGAGACCUGUAUCCUCUUAUUGUUAGUUCUGUGAAAAGGACAGCCUUUGUUGAUGUUAUGAAAUAUGUUUUUCUUUUCUUGUUUUUAUCACCGAUAUUAUGAUGUACAUAAUAUCUAUACGUAGAUGUUCCGUAUCACUUUUCAGUAGAAGCUGAUGGAGAGCUGUGUCGGAUGGGGACACAUACGUACACACUGUGAUUUAACAAUGAGCAACUACUGUACUGUAUGUCUCAUUAUCCAGUAUUCAAAUAAAUCUUGUUGGCACAUUGUCUACGUAUUUGGUAUUGGCAGUCUCCUCACAGUGACCCCCUUACAAAUAACUGCCAUGGUGUCACGCACAGCAAUGAAAAUAAGCAGCAUAUUCAUGGCUGGGUAGAGGAUGACAUGCUUAUUGUUGGUGCUAUUAAUGCCAUGUCUGUUUGCUGUGGUAGCCAUCUGACCUGAGGUAUGUUCACUCAAAGUGAAAGCUUCCAGCCUCUUUGGAGCAACGGUGUAGGAGCCAUGCCUGCUCUGUGCCCUGCUUGAAUGCCAUGUCCCAGAGCCAGGCACAGAUGGCA